GAUGAACGCUGGCGGCGUGCUUAACACAUGCAAGUCGAACGAAGCACCUUGAUUUGAUUCUUCGGAUGAAGAUCUUGGUGACUGAGUGGCGGACGGGUGAGUAACGCGUGGGUAACCUGCCUCAUACAGGGGGAUAACAGUUAGAAAUGACUGCUAAUACCGCAUAAGACCACAGCACCGCAUGGUGCAGGGGUAAAAACUCCGGUGGUAUGAGAUGGACCCGCGUCUGAUUAGGUAGUUGGUGGGGUAACGGCCUACCAAGCCGACGAUCAGUAGCCGACCUGAGAGGGUGACCGGCCACAGUGGGACUGAGACACGACCCAAACUCCUACGGGAGGCAGCAGUGGGGAAUAUUGUACAAUGGGGGAAACCCUGAUGCAGCGACGCCGCGUGAGCGAUGAAGUAUUUCGGUAUGUAAAGCUCUAUCAGCAGGGAAGAAAAUGACGGUACCUGACUAAGAAGCACCGGCUAAAUACGUG
rnacentral:rRNA from 1 species